GAGUUGCGAACGGGUGAGUAACGCGUAGGUAACCUGCCUACUAGCGGGGGAUAACUAUUGGAAACGAUAGCUAAUACCGCAUAACAGCAUUUAACCCAUGUUAGAUGCUUGAAAGGAGCAAUUGCUUCACUAGUAGAUGGACCUGCGUUGUAUUAGCUAGUUGGUGAGGUAACGGCUCACCAAGGCGACGAUACAUAGCCGACCUGAGAGGGUGAUCGGCCACACUGGGACUGAGACACGGCCCAGACUCCUACGGGAGGCAGCAGUAGGGAAUCUUCGGCAAUGGGGGCAACCCUGACCGAGCAACGCCGCGUGAGUGAAGAAGGUUUUCGGAUCGUAAAGCUCUGUUGUAAGAGAAGAACGUGUGUGAGAGUGGAAAGUUCACACAGUGACGGUAACUUACCAGAAAGGGACGGCUAACUACGUGCCAGCAGCCGCGGUAAUACGUAGGUCCCGAGCGUUGUCCGGAUUUAUUGGGCGUAAAGCGAGCGCAGGCGGUUUAAUAAGUCUGAAGUUAAAGGCAGUGGCUUAACCAUUGUUCGCUUUGGAAACUGUUAGACUUGAGUGCAGAAGGGGAGGGUGGAAUUCCAUGUGUAGCGGUGAAAUGCGUAGAUAUAUGGAGGACCACCGGUGGCGAAAGCGACUUUUUGUUCUGUAACUGACGCGGAGGCUGGAAAGCGUGGGGAGCAACCAGGAUUAGAUACCCUGGUAGUCCACGCCGUAAACGAUGAGUGUUAGGUGUUAGGCCCUUUCCGGGGCUUAGUGCCGCAGCUAACGCAUUAAGCACUCCGCCUGGGGAGUACGACCGCAAGGUUGAAACUCAAAGGAAUUGACGGGGGCCCGCACAAGCGGUGGAGCAUGUGGUUUAAUUCGAAGCAACGUGAAGAACCUUACCAGGUCUUGACAUCCCGAUGCUAUUCCUAGAGAUAGGAAGUUUCUUCGGAACAUCGGUGACAGGUGGUGCAUGGUUGUCGUCAGCUCGUGUCGUGAGAUGUUGGGUUAAGUCCCGCAACGAGCGCAACCCCUAUUGUUAGUUGCCAUCAUUAAGUUGGGCACUCUAGCGAGACUGCCGGUAAUAAACCGGAGGAAGGUGGG
rnacentral:rRNA from 1 species